UAAGGAAUAUUGGUCAAUGGACGCAAGUCUGAACCAGCCAUGCCGCGUGAAGGAUGAAGGUCCUCUGGAUUGUAAACUUCUUUUAUCUGGGACGAAAACGGGAUUUUUAUCUCAAUUGACGGUACCAGAGGAAUAAGCACCGGCUAACUCCGUGCCAGCAGCCGCGGUAAUACGGAGGGUGCGAGCGUUAUCCGGAUUUACUGGGUUUAAAGGGCGCGCAGGCGGGAUAAAAAGUCAGUGGUGAAAUCCUACAGCUUAACUGUAGAACUGCCUUUGAUACUUGUAUUCUUGAGUUCGGGAGAGAGAGACGGAAUUCCCGGUGUAGUGGUGAAAUACGUAGAUAUCUGGAAGAACACCAGUUGCGAAGGCGGUCUCUUGGUCCGACACUGACGCUGAGGCGCGAAAGCGUGGGGAGCAAACA
rnacentral:rRNA from 1 species